UGGUGCAUUCCGUUGAAUUCUACUACGUUUACACGUGGGCGGCUAUUUUAAUAAACGGACAUUUAAACCUCUCC